UACUAUAUCCUCCUGGGAGUCAGGAUAUGCCCUCUCGUACGUAUAGACGUACUGGUUGACCUCUGGAUGUUCCCUGGCCGCCUCGUCCAUGAAGACAGCGAACGGUCUAGAACCGGCAUGAUGGUUCCUUGUGUUGCGUUGCCGGUUCUGAGCGUUCACCCGGGAAACCGCCUUCAAAGAAAAAAGUAAACUAUUAGUAAAAUAUUUUAAAACGCACGUACUUAAUGAUAAAUUAACUAAUUAAUUUAUUUAAAUACCUGUUUACGAGGGUUGUUGAAUUCUGAUGUCAGAAGCCAACGCCACUCGUACUCUCUGUACUGGAACUCAGCAGGGGUAGCAGAACGUGCGUUCCCGUGUGUAGUCCAAUGGGUCCGCAACUCGUUCUUCCACUCCUUGUACCUACAGAUACAACAAAAAUAUUAGAAAUAUUAUUAAUAUGACAUACAGUUUUGUUUAUUCAUUAAUUUCCCAACGUACCUUCCUCCAUGCACAAAGUCCGCCCAGCUGCUCUUCAAGGGCUCGGGAACCUCAAACCACGCCUGCAUUUAACCGUUUAUUAGUUUAGUUUUUCCAGAAAUCUACAAUGUAAUACAUAAUAUUAUUCAGGCAUUUUAGAAACUGACCGACAUCGCGUUGUGGACCAUGUCCUUAACCUCCUGCGGGACCUCGCCCCACUCUGACCACAACAUAGGGACUCUAUCCCUAAUGAGCGCUCCCACGCGGCCGGAGUACGUCCUCGACUUCCCGCCCGAUAUUACGUCGCCAUCCCCGUCAGUACCGAUGACAAUCCUCCCUGAGGUACCGACGAUCUUCUCGAGAGCCUUCCCUGUGACGGGGCCUCUCUUCUUUUUUGCCGGCUUCGCUCCGACGGUGCCUAUCACAUGAUAACCAAAUUGAUUAUUAAAAUCGGAGAAUUAUAAGAAAACACAUCAUUCAUCUUUCAUUACCUGAGGGCGAGGAGGCGGACGCGACGGAUUCCGCCUCCGAUGAUGAUACCCUCGCCGAAAUAAGAGGCGUAUCAAAA
rnacentral:lncRNA from 1 species